AGUAAAAGAUGGCGGACAAGACCAAACCCUUUUUGCGAAGUACAGGAUGGGUUCAGCCAUUCGCCAUGUGUAGCUGAAAAGACUGCAAAUAGCCACCACAGACCCACAGUAUUGCAGGGAGACAGCGCGGAGAAAUCAUUUUCUCUCAUCACAAAUUCACCAGUCUUACCUUCCAUUUCUCGUUCGCAGCUACUUUCUGAUACUCUGCGUUGCCGAAUGUUUCCGCUCUUUCAUUCGCACAAUUCAGUUCGUAUGCACCAUUAGACUCCUCUUCUGCAGUAAACACGCUGCCGUUCUCGAAAUACCGGUUUUCCAUUAUUUGAUUUUGUUGGCCUUUUCAGCAAUAUCUCUGUGAUUAGGACAUAGGUUUUUCUUGUCAGUAAUGAUGUACGGCGAUCCCCAACAGCAGCAGCAACCGGGGGUUGGUGGUGGGGACUUCCCAAGGGGUCCGCUACCACCACCUCCGCCCAUGAUACGCCAGUCCUCUGCUUCUUCCACUACUCUCAAUCCAGACUAUCAUCAUCCCUCUGGCCUUGCUCCUGCUCAUCCUUAUGAUGCUCAUGGCGAUAAUUUUGCGGCAAAAAGAAUGAGAAAACUUACACAAAGGAGGGCAGUAGAUUAUACAAGUACCGUCGUUAGAUAUAUGCAGGUAAUGUUUUUGCC